GGCCAGAUAAGUCAGCUGCAACAGGCAGGGAGUGACAUCAUAUGAGGUUCUUCACUGAUUCCCCCACACAAGAAGAUUCCUGGAAACAGCUGAGGAACCAAGACUGGAAGUGCUGGACCCAGGCAAAAGACAUUUUUAGUCUGUGAAUGAAACACUCCAAGGAAUUCCAAGUGCAGCUUGCCCCUUAAGAGUCUGCAGCCUGCUGAUAUCAUCAGUUAGGCCACUUCUGCUACUUGGCUUGAGGCCUCUGCAUCCGGUCUUGAUUGAGGCACAUGAGAGAGGCUGAGCUAGGCUCUUGGCCAAUUGCAAAGCGGCUUUCCUUCCGGUCCCGCCUCCCCCUUCCUCUCAUUUGUGUCUUUUCACCUGGCCAUGCUGUUUCCUGCCUCUUGCCAGGGCCCCUCCGAGCAGCGAGCUGGACGAUGGAGAGGGACUCCCCGCCCCCACACAACGAUUGGGGCUGAAGUGGAUCCGUGGAGCGACUGAAUCUUGAAAAUGGGCGGCUGUGAAACAUCCCGGCCCUGGGCACCCAGGACAGAGGGGGGCAGGAACUCUUGAGACAAGAUUGGCUGGUUUUGCUUCUCCUGACUUACAUCUGUGAUUCCUAUACAGAAUCCAAGUAAGAGCUGCUGGAAGUUCGUAUCCGUCCAGUGUCUUAGCGUGACCCCUUAUUGGUACCCUGGCCAAUGUAAUCAGGUGGGGAGGGCAUGGGCCAAGGAAGGGGCCAAGGUAGCAGACAUAGAAAUGAACAAAGAUCUGGUGUAGAGUGUCCCGUGCGUUCCCCAUUCAGUGACAGUCGUGAACUGAUCUUCCAAACACUGCCAAGUCUGCCGUCACAGAUGCUUGCAGGAAGCCGUACCUGUCUGCACACGUGCAUGGGAACUCCCUCCUGCAGGACUCGAGUGUCCAGUUCUGGGCGCCACAUUUCAAGAAAGAUGUGGAGAAAUUGGAAAGGGUCCAGAGAAGAGCGACA